rnacentral:miRNA from 1 species
CAUAACAAAUUAUUACUCAGU